UGUUUUAGGUACAUUCUAAUUUCGAAUCACUUAUCUUCUCAUGUCAAAUCGACAAAAACUCUUAUUUUCAUGAAUCUAUCUAGUGUCUUGCGUAUACUUCUAGCUACAUUCAAAUCUUUACAAGACAAAUAACAUUGCUAUGUUACACGACAUUCUAACUGGAUUCUCAUCUUGUUCGAACAUCGGCAAUGAAAUGAAAUAUAUGGAAAAGGUGGAUAAACAAACAUAACGAUAACUAAACCUCUACCCCAUCCAAUCAAGCAAUUUUCUAAAAUCUAGUACCUCCUCUAUGUUCUUGGGAGCAGCCUCUCCAUAAAAUGGAGGUAAGGCUAGCCGACAUUCACCUCUCCCAGACCUUGCAUAAAGCGGGAGCCUUGUGCACUGGGUACGACCUUUUUAGUACCUCCUCUAUGUUAUAUAAAUGCAAAUAUACUUUUCUCCACAUGUGCAGAGACUUUGUAAACUUUUCCAGUGAAGACAAUUUGUUAAAAUCCAGUAGCCCAUACAUUGCAUAUAAGCAACACCUUCUCGAUAUUGGCCUUGCACUCACAAAGAGUUUGUGAUUUUUGACCAAAUAAUUUCGCACAUAUGCAUGAUAACUCCAUAACUUCUAUGACCUAACAUUACAUCCUAAGACCCUUCAUAUAAAAUUCAAUACUUUUCUGAAUUUCAGAUGCCCAAAUAGACUUCCAAUAUCCAUAUUCUUCAAUGUUAAAACGAUAAUUAAAUUGUCAGAAAUUCAAUAUUGAAUCCAUAGAUUCUUCAAGUAUAUGUCCUUCAUUUGUUUCCUUAUAUGGAUCAUUAGUUUCAGCUGCAAGAUACAAUUUUCAUAAGAAGAAAAUAUAAUGCAUCAACCCAUCAUCUCUAUUAUUCGAAGAUGACACAAAUGGGCACAAGCAUUCUGUAUCUUCAUGGAUCAAAGACAAUAAUCAAUCAAACACUAAAUUAACGACUAAAAGGAUAAUCAACUACAAACUGUUUACGCCAAUGAUUAUAGACCAGUUCAAUGUCAAGAGCAGGGCCAUUUGUUAUUGCCU
rnacentral:lncRNA from 1 species